UCUUCUUAGAAGAUUUUAUUUUACAAGAAACGAACAUCUGAAAAUGGCAAGUGACGUUGUUAAUUUGGGGAUAAAAAUAUGGCGGGUGUUUUCCCCUUCUGAAAAUAACUGACACAUUUGCAUCCUAUUGGCUAUUUAAAUAUAAAAUGACCAAAAAUAGUAUCUAUGAUGAUAGGAGUCCCUAAAUAUUUGCAUAAAUACCCAUCACUCCGUGUCAAAUUGUAACUGAGGCUGCGAAAAGGAAGCACACAAAUCGACGCCAUUUUUCAACAGAUUAAGGUUUCUGAGCUCACGAAAUCCUAGUAUUAUUACUUUUAAUGAUAACAAUAGGAAAAAGAAGAGCAGGAUUUCUAUAUUGAGGAUUUACAUGUAUGGGACAGAGGACUAUUUGACUUGAUUUUACUUUAAAAAACUUUAUAAUUUUAACAAUAGUUCUCCUUAAUUGUUUAAAAUACUUUUUACAUAUUUUUCAUUUUAACAUUAUUUUUAUGACUUUGUAUUUAUUCAUCACUUAAUAAACUUUUAUUUCUAAACAUU